rnacentral:lncRNA from 1 species
AGCGAGCAUUCUCGCCCCUGAGACAUCUCUUCAACCCUAUUCCUUCCUUUUGUUGAUUCAGUUUUUGUUGAUUUGAGUUUAUGAGCUUCAGUGUUCGGCUCAUGUUAGAAAAAAAAAUCACUUUUUAAAUAUAUUUUCUUUCCAAUGCUAACCCCUAACCCUGAGUGACCAAGUAAAAGAUGUGACUAGCAAGGAUGUGGAGGUUUGUUGAGAUUUGUUUUAUUUAGAGAAACUGAUGCAUUCAACCCCAGAUUGGUUUAUGUAAAAAAAAAAAAAAAAAAAGUAGGGCUUUGACUCACGAGCUUCGGGUCAUAAAAUCACCAUUCCAGACUCUGAUUUUGCUGACGUGACUUUGAGUAGGUUAUAUAACUGCUCUGAACCCGUACUGUAAAAACAAACAAAACAGCAUACACUCGAUUACGUAAAUGGAGAAAGAACAAGACAGUUUCAUAUUUUAAUGUCUAUGAAGCACCUAGCACGUUAGGAGCUCACUGCAUCCAUGCCUCCUCUCGGGGUGCAUGUGUGCUGCGGUGUUGAUACUCGUUUCUGUGUGCUUCUUCUGAUACACUUUUCUCUCUACCUUGGUGAAGUAGAACAUACUGAUUGUAGCGAGAAAAUGUCACACUUUGCUUCCUAUGGGUUUGAUAACCUCCAUGACUAAAAGCAACACGGGGAGAAGAGGGUUUAUUUGGCUUAGACUCAGCCUGCUUUCUUCUCCAGAAGAAGUGGCCCAGAAGCAACUCCUCAGGGCCAGGACUGCCUACAGUAGGUUGGGCCCUCCCACAUUAAUCAUUAACAGGGGAAACUCCACACAGACAGUGCCUACCAGCCAAUCUGAUGGAGGCGUUUCCCCAUUUGCGAUUCCUUCUUCCGGGAUGACUCUACCUGGUUUCAAGUUUAUGGGAAAACUAAUCAGCACACAGGUCAAAAGACAAAACAGCCUUCAUCGGCUGUUUUAGGCCCUUUAGAGAAAUAGCCACUCACUUUCAGCCUCUGUGCCUUGCCUGGAAUGUAUUGUUAAAUUCAGCAAAUCGAGAACCUCUACCAAGUGCGGUAACAUCUGGAAACCCCUGGAAAGAUUUGCUGGAUUCGAUGUAUUUAUUAGAUGUCCCGACUGUUCUAUUCCUUUGACUAAAAAUGUUCACACUGCCACUUUCAUUUUGCAAUGUGUCAUCUGGGGUAGCUUAAAAAUCCACGUCCCUCUACCGAAGCGUCCUGUGAAACUUCCUGGGGAGAUGGGACACAAGUCUGCUCACCCUGGAUAGGAAACUGACAGAACAAAGCAGAGACACCACCGUAGAUCACCUUGCUCGACCACUGAGUUUACUGAGGUUGCUUACAGGAGUGUGGGUGAAGGGGUUCCCUUCAGGAGCAUGGGAAGCCCAAAGGCAACUGCAUCAUCUAAACCCCACCCCGAUCAUCCAAACCCCACCCCAACAGGGCUGAUGAGUCCAGAGCUGUCAAGAUGCCUCAAGGUAGAAGGAAAUUUCCAUACAAGAUAUGGUUCUUCUCAUUUGGCUCAGAAUAAAAUAUGAACAAUU